rnacentral:rRNA from 1 species
GAUGAACGCUGGCGGCGUGCUUAACACAUGCAAGUCGAACGGAAAGGCCCAAGCUUGCUUGGGUACUCGAGUGGCGAACGGGUGAGUAACACGUGGGUGAUCUGCCCUGCACUUCGGGAUAAGCCUGGGAAACUGGGUCUAAUACCGGAUAGGACCACAUUUUGGAUGGUGUGGUGGAAAGUUUUUCGGUGUGGGAUGAGCUCGCGGCCUAUCAGCUUGUUGGUGGGGUAAUGGCCUACCAAGGCGUCGACGGGUAGCCGGCCUGAGAGGGUGUACGGCCACAUUGGGACUGAGAUACGGCCCAGACUCCUACGGGAGGCAGCAGUGGGGAAUAUUGCACAAUGGGCGCAAGCCUGAUGCAGCGACGCCGCGUGGGGGAUGACGGCCUUCGGGUUGGAAACUCCUUUCGAUAGGGACGAAGCGUUAUGUGACGGUACCUGGAGAAGAAGCACCGGCUAACUACGUG